rnacentral:rRNA from 1 species
CCUACGGGAGGCUGCAGUGAGGAAUAUUGGUCAAUGGACGAGAGUCUGAACCAGCCAAGUAGCGUGAAGGAUGACGGCCCUAUGGGUGGUAAACUUCAUUUAUAUGGGAAUAAAACAGGGUAGGCAUACCCUCUUGUAUGUACCAUAUGAAUAAGGAUCGGAUAACUCCGUGCCAGCAGCCGCGGUAAUACGGAGGAUCCGAGCGUUAUCCGGAUUUAUUGGGUUUAAAGGGAGCGUAGGUGGCUUGUUAAGUCAGUUGUGAAAGUUUGCGGCUCAACCGUAAAAUUGCAGUUGAAACUGGCAGUCUUUAUUUCAUUAGUGGUGGGCGGCAUUCGUGUUGUAGCGGU